GGUACGGACCUGAGCACAAAUUCAUGAAGGACAUCAUGCCGCAACCUCAAAUUUCGAGCUACGAUGACAACGGUAUCAAGCUAAGCAAGGUUGAAGAAGGUAGAUUCGUUAGAGACAUCGAGUCACAACCUCAAAUCUCCAACUAUGAUGGCGAUGCUAUGUCAAAUAAAUUUGUUAAGGACAUCGAGCCGCAACCUCAAAUCUCGAGCUAUGGAACCCCGCACAAAUUCACAAAGGACAUCAUGCCACAACCUCAAAUUUCGAGCUACGAUGAGAAGGGUGUCGAGCGGAGCAAGGUCGAAGAAGGUACUGGAAAAUUCGUUAGAGACCUCGAGUCACAGCCUCAAAUCUCCAACUACGACGACAAUAAUACCGCCCCGAAUAAGUUUGCAAAGGAUUUGAGGUCGGAACCUCAAAUCUCCAACUACGACGACAAUAAUACCGCCCCGAAUAAGUUUGCAAAGGAUUUGAGGUCGCAAC
rnacentral:lncRNA from 1 species